GGUUAUGGCCUUGACUUUGCUUGUGCGAGCAACUUUGCCAAACGAAAUCUCUCUUAAGAAGUGGUUCUUGGUGCACAUAGUACCGUGAAGAAGAAUGUCUUCCUUUUUUCUGUUAACCUUUUUGCUAAUUGUGUGCUAUCUCCAUUUUGGAAACACUGGUCAGGUGGUCACAGUUUGGGUUAACGAUAAGCCCAUACGUUUGGAUCUAAGUGAAAGGAGGGCUGGCAUGGUGGAUACUUAUCAAACAAGCGAUGGCUCGAAGACAGUCUAUCUGGCAGACAUGAUCUGCGGAUCGUGUGAUCGUCUUGUCGGACCUGUUCGUCGACAAAACUGUAGGAAGAAGUUAUGUGACAGUGAAGAAUCUGAAAAUGUCCAAAAGAAGAUACAAAUUUUAUGAGAGGAAAAAAUGAAGGUUUUUUUUUCAGCGAUGUUCACAACUGGAAAGCAAAAUAAAUGAUUGAUAUCUC